rnacentral:rRNA from 1 species
ACAUGCAAGUCGAGCGGUAACAGAGAGUAGCUUGCUACUUUGCUGACGAGCGGCGGACGGGUGAGUAAUGCUUGGGAACAUGCCUUGAGGUGGGGGACAACAGUUGGAAACGACUGCUAAUACCGCAUAAUGUCUACGGACCAAAGGGGGCUUCGGCUCUCGCCUUUAGAUUGGCCCAAGUGGGAUUAGCUAGUUGGUGAGGUAAUGGCUCACCAAGGCGACGAUCCCUAGCUGGUUUGAGAGGAUGAUCAGCCACACUGGGACUGAGACACGGCCCAGACUCCUACGGGAGGCAGCAGUGGGGAAUAUUGCACAAUGGGCGCAAGCCUGAUGCAGCCAUGCCGCGUGUGUGAAGAAGGCCUUCGGGUUGUAAAGCACUUUCAGUCAGGAGGAAAGGUUAGUAGUUAAUACCUGCUAGCUGUGACGUUACUGACAGAAGAAGCACCGGCUAACUCCGUGCCAGCAGCCGCGGUAAUACGGAGGGUGCGAGCGUUAAUCGGAAUUACUGGGCGUAAAGCGUACGCAGGCGGUUUGUUAAGCGAGAUGUGAAAGCCCCGGGCUCAACCUGGGAACUGCAUUUCGAACUGGCAAACUAGAGUGUGAUAGAGGGUGGUAGAAUUUCAGGUGUAGCGGUGAAAUGCGUAGAGAUCUGAAGGAAUACCGAUGGCGAAGGCAGCCACCUGGGUCAACACUGACGCUCAUGUACGAGAGCGUGGGGAGCAAACAGGAUUAGAUACCCUGGUAGUCCACGCCGUAAACGAUGUCUACUAGAAGCUCGGAACCUCGGUUCUGUUUUUCAGAGCUAACGCAUUAAGUAGACCGCCUGGAGAGUACGGCCGCAAGGUUAAAACUCAAAUGAAUUGACGGGGGCCCGCACAAGCGGUGGAGCAUGUGGUUUAAUUCGAUGCAACGCGAAGAACCUUACCUACACUUGACAUACAGAGAACUUACCAGAAGAUGGUUUGGUGCCUUCGGGAACUCUGAUACAGGUGCUGCAUGGCUGUCGUCAGCUCGUGUUGUGAGAUGUUGGGUUAAGUCCCGCAACGAGCGCACCCCUAUCCUUAGUUGCUAGCAGGUAAUGCUGAGAACUCUAAGGAGACUGCCGGUGAUAAACCGGAGGAAGGUGGGGAC